CUCUUCACAAAGUGAAGUGUGUGUGUGAAAGAGAGAAGCUACUUAGUUUAAUUACUAUUGUCAAAGCUAGCUGCAGUUUUGAUAAAGAAAGCUCUUACAAUCGAUUAUGUGGUUUAGUGGUUAAAUUCCAGCAUCUAUCUUAUCGUCAGCUCUCAUGCAGUCAAAAUUAAUGUUUAGGAAGCUAGAACAAUGCAUAAAUAAUUAUGUUUAUCUGUUUGUCUCUUUUGCUCAUUAGCAUUUAUGUGAAAUGUCUUAAAAAUGCCAACUUCAAUAAAUAUAUAUACAUUUUUAAAUGCUUAUUUAUUUUUGAGAGGAAGAGAGAAGAGUGAGAGCGGGGGAGGGGCAGGGAGAGAGGGAGACUCAGAAUCUGAAGCAGCCCAGAGCCUGACACAGGGCUCGAACUCACAAACCCGAGAGAUCAUGAUCUGAGCCGAACUUGGAAGCUUAACUGAGCCCCCCAGGUACCCCCCCCAACUUUAAUAAAUAUUAUCUGGAUUAUUGGUUUCUUUAAAACUUAUAUAUGAUUUAGUCCAUUUCUGACAUUUCCCUAUGAGAGUUCCAAUUCAAAAUAUGGAAUGAACUCAGUAAUAAAAUUUGAUAUUUACUCUUUUAAUGUAUUUGUUGUAAAGCCUAGUGUUCCUUUUCUCUAUGGAAUUGAAUAAAGACUGGGGUGAGUAUGAUGCUGAGUCAGCUUUCUGCAGAAAAAAGUAGAAAUGAGGAACUUGAAUCAAGCUGCUCAAUCCAAAGCACAAGAAAAUGCAUUUUUUUUAACAAAACAGAAAAGAAAGUGUUACAGAAAUAAACUCCUGAGCUUUAUUUCUACAUCUCCAAAUGCCUGUUAGAAAAUUUCUGCUGAGUGACCUGUUAACCUCAAGUUGAAAAAUCCAUCUAAUAUUGGAGUCCUAAUCUUAGCCACUUACUGUCAUCAAGUGUCCCCAUUCUUGGAUCACUCUAUUUACUCAGGAGGGAAACUCUGAAAUCAUCUUGGACUCUUCCUUCUCUCUCGUUUUCCUAUAGUCAGUCAUUCACAAGGAGCUGAUCCCAGUUUUUUUUUUUCUCUGUACCAAGGGUUAAAAACUGGUGGCCCACAGGACUGCACACACCUCUUUAUGAACGUUUGUGUGAAUGGAUGUGUGAAUGUAUGCAUUGAGCCAAAACAGUUUUUUAUUUAAAUUUGGAUCAGAAUGCCUUUAGGUAUUCUUUAGGGGUACACACUGUCUGGUUAGUCAUUGCCUAUCUUCUUCCAUUCCUCCGGUUCUGUCCAUCUCUUCCUUUCUUAAUGCAAAGUUUAGUUAAGUUGCAGAAGAACAGAUUCAAAUCUUACUUGUAGGAAAGUGAAAAAUGGGACCGGCAGCAUCAGGGUAUUCUUUGAUUUUUUGCUAAUUUGAUACAAGCAGUGGGGGUGAUCAAUGUUUUUCCUUGAAAAUAGAAUGCAAUCAUCAUCAAUUUUUAUACUGAACAGGUCCAGUCAUGACUUAAAGCAUGGCAACUCUCCAUGGAAUCUCAGAUUGUUAUUUAAUUCUAGUAAAAUACUAAGACUAAUUAUUGAGAAAGAGCGAGGUGAGUUGGGGAUAGGGUAGAAUGCUUGCCUUAGUUCAGGUGGGAUUAUCACCUACCUUGGAAAAUAAGUCUUUGUGGUUUCACCCAUUUGAUAUUCUUAGCUUAUUACCAAGUUGAAGAAACUCCUCAGGUCACUAUCAAUUGAGUAAACCCUCCCAGAUUCUGUUAAUUUGAUGGCACCACUAUCCACAGGAACUCUGAACUCUAGCUCUCCCCACCUCUUAUACUUCAAGCAUAUGAGUUGCUGUGUUAUGUGGUUUGGGUUGACAAAGGCAGGACUUACCCGUAUUUGUAAAUUUAAGAAUUACUCCGAUUUUGUCUUCAUAUACUCAAAAGUCAGAACUAUAAGGCACUAAAACACUUGGGUGAGACAAAAAACUCAGCAAAAAUAUUGGAUGAAAAUAUCUAUCCUCCACUGAUUGCUUUUGAAAAGUUUCAGCCAAAUGUUUGUGACUGUGUUCCUAAAGUUUGUUGAAUUGGAAUUAUUACUGGAUCAACAAACCACUUAUUGUGAAGAUAAUUUUCUUAUAUAUAUAUAUAUAAGUUUGAGUUACUUGGGAAAAAAAAAACAAUAGCAACCUCUCUCAGUCAGAUGUGAUUCAGAAGAGUUAGAUUUUAAAUGUGAAGUUCUAGGAAUAUUUUAUCCAGUUUUUGUCUCUUCUUUUCUUUUUCUUUUUCUUUUUUCUUUUUUUGCUUGUUUGUAGAUAGGAAUGUUUCUAACAAAGUCUAAAAGAACUCUUUCAAUAAAUGUCCAUUCUUAUAAUAAGAAAAUUUUAUAUCAUAGUUUAACUGGCAGUCUUUUCUCUUUACUUGCACAUAAAUGAUGACAUUUUUUGUUUAGGUAAAACGUGGAGACACUAAAUACUUGAUAGGAUUAUUAUCAGGGACCAAAGAAAUUAAUAUAUAGAUGAAUUUAGAGUAGGGCCUAGCAUUUACUAAAUGUAAAAUAAAUAUCAGCAAUCAUUAUAAUUGAUGGAGAACAAUGAUAUCAUCUUUGAAUAAAAAUGCAUUAAUAAUGACAAGGCCUUAAGUAUGAUACAAUUUUCCAGGUGCUAUUCUGGCUGUCAGGUUGAAGCCAUUCUUUUCUACUUACAUUUUAGUCACAUUUGAAGAAACUGAUGGAACAGCUCGUAAAUUGGUCUCAUCACAGUCAACCUCUAAACCUCGGCAAAGACAUGGCACGGGCACAGAACCGACCACUGAAUAAGGAGGAAGUAGCUGCCAGCGCCUUGUUGGCUUUGUAGGAGGAGGAGGAGGACACCCCCUGCCCCACGUUCAUGUUCAUGUUCAUGUUCCUGACACAUCCGCCCAGACCUCAGAAAACAGCAAUGGAAAUGAGACAUCCUUUUCCUCUGCUAAAGUGAGGAGUGUUCAGAGAAAGAGUCUACAGAGGGGCGGUGUCAGAACUCAGGUCUUCAUGGUAGAGUAACUCAACUUGGCUCCAACCGGGGGAUGAGGUUGGGUUGGUGUAACUUCGAAGGGGAGCCCUCUCUGUACAACCAUCCAUUUAUAACGCAGAGGAAAUGCUAACAAAUUCUCAUCUGGAAAUGCGGAGUUCCUUUUAAAUAAAAAUCUAGAGGUAGUGAAUAAAUGCCAUAGUAUCUGCGAAUUUGACACUACUUUAAUAUUUCAUGUUUACUACUGAGUUACGCUCAGUUUAAAAUGGACAUAAGUGAUUUCUGAAUGAGGGUCCUAACAUUUUUGUAAUCUGAUUUCUUUGGUAUUUACCAGAUGUAUUCAUCCAGGUAUCUCAAGAGUUUUAGCUGAAAAAGCAAAAGGUCCCUUUUCUUUUGGUUUGCCAUUGUGAUACCAAGUACUACUCUAAGGACUCUUUGAGACUCUUUUGGGUCUCUAGUCUGUUUGAUUGCAUCUUAGAUAGUUCUGAGUAGAGAUGAAAAGUGGGUUAGGAUACACAGCAAACACGUAUGGAAAUUGUAUGGGAAUUGUAUCAAAUUUUUCAGGGGAAAAAUUAUACAUUUCAUAUUGAAGUUUAUCAGUAAGGAUCAAAGUUAUUAUAAAAAUGGUGUAACCAAUUUUGAUAUAUGUAUGUCUAUAAAUUCUGUAUUGCCCAAAUAUUUUAGAAAGAAAGGGAUUCUUAUGAAUUCAAUGGAAAACUUCAAAUCUAUUGCUUUGCUUGCCUUGUGUCACUGAAAAAUGUUCAGUGAGUAGAUGUGUUAUACUUUUUAUACUGAGAUAUUUUAUUUUUGUAAACUAUUCCAUUAUAGAGAAAUUAUUUUUGCAAAGAAAAGUGGGAACUCAAUAAGCAAAUAGGAGUGCUUGUUUAAAAUGCCUGUGAUAAUACAAAAGUCACAUUUUUCUCCCUAAAUAUAUUUAGUUCAUAUUAUAGUUCAAUAUAUGGGGAGUCAGUUUAAUUUAUUUAAUGGUGUUUCAUUUUGGGGGUGACUCUGCUAAAUUUUAUAGUUACUAUUUUGAUUUGACUUACUUUUCCACUUUAAUAAUUACUACUGGUGUCAAUGGUAAUAGCUUGGAGGUAUUUUUUAGGGUGUAUGUUAAAAGUUCUAAUUAAGGAAAAGUCUCCUUUCCAUUACAGAAAGAUUUUUUAUUUGGCAAUACAUUAUUAACUUAUAAAUGAACACUCUAAAAGUGAUUUUUACCUGUGGAUUUUUCUUUUAUUCAUAUGUUAAGAUACUAUAUUUUAUGUGAUUGUAAAUAUAUUUAAUGCUGCUUAUUCAAAUAUGCAUGAAGUUUACAUAUUCUGAAAAGAACCAACUUUCUGACCUAAUUUAAUUAGCAUUAAACAGCAUGUAAACAUGAAUGUCUUAAAAAAUGAACAGCCAGGGGAGCACAAAUUAUGUAGAUAUUCUAAAAUUAAAAAAAAAAAAAAGAAAGAAAGAAAACAAUUCACAGCCAGUGAAGGAAAUUCGGUAAUAAGAAGCAAGAGGAAAUAACUGCAUUUCAUAAUUUUUGUCACCUGGACCCUAAAGGUGAUGAUAAAAUUCUGUCUUCCUUCCUGGGAUGUUCCAACCUGUACAUGCAUGGAUGCAGCAACAUGUCAACUUACCAUUGCUGAGGUUUUGACCAGAGUUCAACUUAAAUUCUUCUUUUUUUAAUUUCUAGAUGACUGCAACCAAUACAGUGCCAAUGUUUCUUAUAAAAGCUAACAAAUUGGUAAUAAUGAUAAUGGAGUUAGCAAGUUAGUAAGUCUGCAUACCAUAUUGAGAGUUUGACUCUAGUUUAUUUCUACUCUUGCUACUAUCUCACCUGCAUUCCUUGUUUUCCACUCACUUGGGUCUAGGUCAGUGGUUCUCAAAAUGUAGUGUGCGGGGUGACUUGAAGAGCUUUCAGAAACAUUGCUGAGCCACCGGCAGAGUUUCUGAUCCAGUCGGGUUGGGAUGGAGACUGAGAACCUGCAUUCCUAAUAGCUUCGUGGCUAAUGCUGAUGGCUUUGGUCCAGAACUACAGUGGAAGAUGUGCUGGCCUGGAUAAAUUUCAGGAGAGUACUUUUUUUCUGACAUAAGAAGUCCAGGAAUAGUUUAAGAUAGUAUUUGUUACAUAGACAUGUUUUCAUAAGAAUAGAUUAUGAUUUUGCCCAUAUUUCCAAAACUGGACUUGGGUUUUUUUAUUUUUUUGAUGUUGACAAUGGUGAAUAAAGGAGGUUUAAAAUAGCAUUAAGCAGGGGGACCUGUAGGUGAAUGUCUGACUUCGGCUCAGGUCAUGAUCUCACAGCUCGUGGGUUCGAGCCCUGCGUUGGGCUCUGUAAUGACAGCUCAGAGCCUGGAGCCUGUUUUGGAUUCUGUGACUCCCUCUCUCUCUGCCCCUCCCCCUCUGGCUCUCUCUCUCAAAAAUAAGUGAACAUUAAAAAAAAUUUUUAAUGGCAUUAAACAGAAUUUUUUUUGUCUAAUAAACAGAAUCUUUUUUGUCUAAGAAAAAUAUUUUAAUAUUAA